rnacentral:rRNA from 1 species
GACGAGGGGUCCUAGCGUUGUUCGGAAUCACUGGGCGUAAAGCGUAUGUAGGCGGCCUUACAAGUCAGGUGUGAAAUCCCACGGCUUAACCGUGGAACUGCACUUGAAACUGUAGGGCUUGAAUAUCGGAGAGGAUAGUAGAAUUCCAGGUGUAGUGGUGAAAUACGUAGAUAUCUGGAGGAAUUCCGGUGGCGAAGGCGGCUAUCUGGCCGAAUAUUGACGCUGAGAUACGAAAGCGUGGGGAUCAAACAGG